UACGUAGGGGGCAAGCGUUGUCCGGAUUUACUGGGCGUAAAGAGCGCGCAGGCGGUCGAUCAAGUCGAGUGUGAAAGCCCCCGGCUCAACUGGGGAGGGUCAUUCGAUACUGAUCGACUCGAAGGCAGGAGAGGGUAGUGGAAUUCCCGGUGUAGUGGUGAAAUGCGUAGAUAUCGGGAGGAACACCAGUGGCGAAGGCGACUACCUGGCCUGUUCUUGACGCUGAGGCGCGAAGCUAGGGGAGCAACGGG
rnacentral:rRNA from 1 species